UAUACUGGUAAAGCCUGCCCUUGACUUAAGACACUGGCAGAAUAGUUGGAGAUGGAUUACAAUGCUACAGAUCAGUUUCAAUUCAGGACCAGUUUACAAAGAAGGAAAAGAAGGCAUGGUCCAUUUUCCUGGCUGUUUGUCUCCCACUCUAUCAUAUGAAUGGCAGUUCACUGAUGAUAGUUGUUGUCAAGCUCUGAGGGGAAGUCACCCUGAGCACUGUUGUCUGAGGCAGUAUGCGAGUGAAGACCGCUGGGAUUCUACUCUUACUUUCUCCACACUGGCAUUUCAGAUCUCUUUGGUCUAAAGUGUGGACUUCCACAGGUCAGGAACCUCCUUGACUGUUAUUUGAGAAUCGUUGGAGGCAAGAUAUAGAUAACCACCCCGGGUUGCGGGACUCUGGGGGUCCUCUGAUCUACCCCAGAGAGGAUGGCCACUGGGCCAUGGUGGGGGUCACCUCCUGGGGGAAAGGCUGUGGCCGGAGCCGGAUCAACAAGGCCGAGUCCCCAGCCAAGAUAGGAUCCCCGGGGGUCUUUACUGAUGUCAAGAUGUUCCUGCCCUGGAUCGAGACGAAACUCGGAAGGUUAUCUAACACGUUUUAGUCAGUGUAAGCCAUGCGGGUCUGGAUUUGUUUAAUUCAUUGGUUUAACAGAUGGUCUAACAAAUGAUUUUGUUUUGUUCAGCAGCAGAUUCUAACCGAAACCAAAGGUCCAUGUCAAGUAAAAUGUGUUUCUUCUCAUCAAUUCCACAUUGCAUUUACUUGCAUGCUUUGAAACUGCGCCCACAUCCUCUUUGUCAUCUGAUUAGCAACUACAUUUCUAUUUACGCAAUAGCUCACUUAUGCAAUUUGUACAAUUCACCUUUACCGUAUGAUGUGACUGUACUCUUUGAACAGUGCAUUUGAUGCUGAUUGUGUGUACUGUGCUGAAAGACUGUGCAGUGAGGGAUAGGCCUGUGAGGGUCUCAAACCCAAACCUUAGUCUGUCUCGACAAUAACGAGUGGGUGUCAGUGUACAGGCCCGUUGCACAGGGGGAGGGAGAGCUCUGCUGAAUUGAAUGCUCUUCUUGAAUGCACUUUAAUUAAGUACGCUUUUAGGCCAAUUUACUCACCACUUGACAGCUGUCAUGGGCAGCAGGUAGCCAAGCUGUUAGACAGGCGAGCAGGCAGCCAGCGGGUUGCUGUUAUCAAAUCCUAGAUUCCAUUGCCUCAAGUUGUGCCCUUGAGCAAGGCACUUAAUGCCCCCCCCCCCCCCCACACCUCUCCAAAAACCUGUAUGUAUGUACUGUAAGUCAAACUUUGGUUGGACCAUGUGUGCAAUUGACCAAUAAAGUGAUCUUAAUCAGUUUAGUCAAAAGCUGGAAUACUUGUGACAGCUUUUUCACAAAGUAAUAGAUUGACCCUGUAGGAACAGAUGAAACUGUUCUUGGAACAUCAAAUGCAUCCAGUCAGUUUUCCAUACUGAUUCUCUCUCUGUGUACAGUGGCAAGAAAAAGUGUGAACCCUUGGAUUUAAUAACUGGUUGACCCUCCUUUGGCAGUAAUAACCUCAACCAAACGUUUUCUGUAGUUGCGGAUCAGACCUGCAGAAUGGUCAGGAUUAAUUUUGGACCAUUCCUCUUUACAAAACUGUUUCAGUUCAGCAAAAUUCUUGAGGUCUCGUGUGAACCGCUCUCUUGAGGUCAUGCCACAGCAUCUCAAUCGGGUUGAGGUCAGGACUGACUGGGCCACUCCAGAAGGCAUAUUUUCUUCUGUUGAAGCCAUUCUGUUUUACUUCUGUGUUUUGGGUUGUUGUCCUGUUGCAUCACCCAACUUCUGCUGAUCUUCAAUUGGCGGACAGAUAGCCUUACAUUCUCCUGCAAAAUGUCUUGAUAAAAUUAAUGCCCAAGUUUUCCGUCAAUGAUGGCAAGCUCUCCAGGCACUGAGGCAGCAAAGCAGCCCCAAACCAUGAUGCUCCCUCCACCAUACUUGACAGUUGGGAUGAGGUUUUGAUGUUGGUGUGCUGUGCCUUUUUUUUUCUGUCCACACAUAGUGUUGUGUGUUACUUCCAAACUGUAGUUUCAUCAGUCCACAGAAUAUUUUACCAGUAGCGCUGUGCAACAUCCUGGUGCACUUUGGCAAACCUCAGACGUGCAGCAAUGUUUUUUUGGACAGCAGUGACUUUCGUGGUGUCCUCCCAUGAACACCAUUCUUGUUUAGUGUUUUACGUAUCAUAGACUCGUCAACAGAGAUGUUAGCACGUUCCAGAGAUUUCUCGUCGGGAUGUGGCACCGUGGCACUAGUCCAGGAUCAGAGGGCCGUUCAGAGUUUCAACUACCCACAAUCCUACAGCAACAACUCUGACUGCCACUGGGUCAUCUAUGCCCCCCAGGAUCAUGUUGUCAAGGUGACACAUGUUGACUUUUACCUCUUAGGCAGAGGGGGCUUUAAUAUUUAGUGUAUUGUCCUGUGCAAGGCCAUUGUGACCGAAGGGAUACCCCAGAUCUUUGACCGCUCCCAGUGGAAUCAUGAAUACGGUCUCUGGUGUGGAUGGGAUCAGUUUACCUGUACUGGAAAGAAUGUGUUACUCACUUUGAUGCAACAAUAACAACAAUAAUAACAGCAACACAUACUGCAAUACUGUUGCUGCACAUGUCACAUUGUUUGCUGAAAUUACAAUUAUUUAAAAGUUUACAGCUUAGUGCAAGGAUAAUGUAGUAUUCCUUUGUUAUUUUAUUCUCUUAUCUUGCAGCUUGACUUUGACUUGGAGCAGUCAGAUGACUGCACUAUGAUUCGCUGAUUUGUACUUGGAGAUGUGGACGCAAAUCCAUUUUUAUUGGUCACAUACACAUGGUUAGCAGAUGUUAAUGCGAGUGUAGCGAAAUGCUUGUGCUUCUAUUUCCGACAGUGCAAUAAUAUCUAACAUGUCAUUUAACAAUUCCCUAACAACUACAUAAUACACACACAUCUAAAGGGAUGGAAUAAGAAUAUGUAUGAGCGAUGGCCGAGUAGCAUAGGCAAGGUGCAGUAGAUGGUAUAAAAUACAGUAAAUACAUGUGAUAUGAGUUAUGUAAAGUGGCAUUAUUUAGAGUGCAUUGUAUAAAGUGACUAGUGAUCCAUUUAUUAAAGUGCCCAGUGAUUGGGUCUCAAUGUAGGCAGCAGCCUUGGCGUUAGUGAUUUGCUGCUAGGCAGUCUGAUGGCCUUGAGAGAGAAGCUGUUUUUCAGUCUCUCAGUCCCAGCUUUGAUGCACCUGCACUGACCUCGCCUUCUGGAUGGUAGCGGUGUGCACAGGCAGGUAGUUUGCCCCCGGUGAUGUGUUGUGCAGACCGCACCACCCUCUGGAGAGCCUUGCGGUUGAGGGCAGUGCAGUUGCCAUACCAGGCUGUGAUACAGCCCGACAGGAUGCUCUUGAUUGUGCAUCUGUAAAGUUGUCAGGGUUUUGGGUGACAAGCUACAUUUUUUCAGCCUCCUGAGGUUGAAGAGGCGCUGUUGCGCCUUCUUCACCACACUGUCUGUGUGAGUGGACCAUUUCAGUUUGUCUGUGAUGUGUACGCCGAGGAACUUAAAACUUUCCACCUUCUCCACUGCUGUCCCUUCGAUGUGGAUGGGGGGGUGCUCCCUCUGCUGAUUCCUGAAGUCCACGAUCAUCUCUUUUUGUUGACGUUGAGUGAGGGCACUUGAAGUGUGGUGUUUCUGGUUAGGGUAGGUUUUAAUAGUCACAGUGGGUACAGCAUCUCCAAUGCACCUUAUAAACGCACUCACCGAGUCAGCAUAUAGGUCGAUGUUGUUCUCUGAGGCUGACCGGAACAUAUACCAGGCCACAUGAUCAAAACAACCUUGAAGCGUGGCUUCCGAUUGGUCGGACCAGCGU
rnacentral:lncRNA from 1 species